rnacentral:tRNA from 1 species
ACUCUUCUAGUAUAGUUAUUACAAAUGACUUCCAAUCAUUUAACCUCGGCAUCCGAGGAAGGGUA